AACUGGUUGUAACUGUUGCAAGUUGUUAUUGAGCAGUUACUAAGCAGUUAUAGAUGGAGGGAAGAUUGUAUAAAAUGGGUGCUGAGAGUAAUUCUAUAUUCAUUCAAGAUUCUAAUCAAUAAUAUCAUCUCUCUCCCAUCUUCUUCCUACUCUUUCCUCUCUUCUCUCUCUUCCUUCUUCUCUAUUCUAUUUCUUCUUCUGUCGAGUAUCAGUUGUUAGGGUU
rnacentral:misc_RNA from 1 species